AUAAGACAAUAAAGGCUGCGAAGAGUAAAGUGCCCUUCCCAAGGUCACACAGAAUGGACAGAAAUCAGAACUCAACCUUUUGGCACCAAGACCAGGGCCGUGUCCACUUUAUCAUCCUGUAUCUCCGUAUGCCUGUUCUUUUCUUUAGUUCCAAGAAUAAAAUUGAUAUCCAAGGAGAGUUCACCCUUGAUUCAGAUUUGCCUGCAUACUAAAUGCCACAGCCAUGAUUUCCAGUCACUGCAGCAGGAGGCCAUCCAGAAGGGCGAUGUAAUUCCCAUUACAGUUGAUGGAAACAGCAGAUUGAAAAAAAGAAGCACAAUGACAAAAAAAGAUUCCAGGGGCUGGAAGUCUGAAAACUACAUUUCUAAGACAUCUACUGGCAAGAGAUGAAAAUGUGAAAGACAGAGAGAAAUCACUGUGAGAUUCUGCUGUCCCAGUUAACAGGAGCAGGAAGCUCAUGGACUCUUGACUCUUGAAGCCAGCAAUGGCAAUGGCAGCAAAGGCCACCACAGACAACUGUGAGCUGCUGCAGCUGUCAUGAGGCAACAGGGGCAGGUGAUCACAGGCUGCAGUGGCAUCUGCAAUGAGUCCCACAGUGUCAGUAAGGACACUGUCUAUGGCGAGGGUUGACAGGAGGACUGAAUUUAGUGGUUCAUAUAGGAAAUGAAUAAAAAAUAAGUUUGCAAAAAUAGGGUGGGUUAGGCUUCAGAUAACCUGCAAACCAGUCCAAAGAGUUGCUGUUUUAUGUCUAUCAGGAAAAUAUUUGUUGUUAGUUCUAGCUGGUUUUAUUUAGCUAGAUCCAGAACUGUUUUAAGAUCAGAAAGGGAUAUUUAUUUUUCAUCUUCAUAUUCUUUGUUCAUAGAUAGAGACAAGAAAAAAUGCUGUAACAACAGGGACAUUCCUAGAAAAAACAGUCUAUUAGGAGUUUCCGGUAGAGAACUUGUAGGUACAAAUCUCUAUUAAUAAUAAUUUCUUACAUUUCUAUAGCAUUUUGUGAAAGCUUUUAGCACCCAUUAUUUAAUUUGUGCUUGCAAUAAACCUGUGAGGUAGGUUUAAUUAUUAUCUUGAUUUUAAAAAUAAAGAAAUGAAUGCUCAUUCUGCUAGACAACAUGCCCAAACAUAUACAAUUAGCAGUAGAGCAUGGAGUCAGUCUUGUGUCAUUUGACUCCUGGUUUCUAUUCUCUCUCUUACACAGCAUUUCUCUACCUUUAAAAAAGAAAGGUCUCCAAUGGAACAGAGUACAGAGCUCAGAAAUAGGGCCACAUAUCUAUAACCAUCUGAUCUUAGAUAAAGCUGACACAAAGAAGCAAUGGAGAAAGAACUCCCUACUCAAUAAAUGGUGCUGGAAUAAUUGGCUAGCCAUUAUGCAGAAGAUUGAAACUGGACCCCUUCCUUACGCCAUACAAAAAAAUAAACUCAAGAAGAUUAAAGACUUAAAUGUAAAACCCCAAACUACAAAAACUCAGAAGACAACCUAAGCAACACCAUUCUGGACAUAGGAACUGGCAAAGAUUUCAUGAGGGGGAUGCCAAAAGCAUUUGCAACAAAAGCAAAAAUUGACAAAUGGAAUCUAAUUAAACUUAAGAGCUUCUUCAUAGCAAAAGAAACUAUCAACAAAGUACCAGACAACCUAGAGAAUGGGAGAAAAUUUUUGCAAACUAUGUGUCUGACAAAGCUCUAAUAUCCAGCAUCUAUAAGGAACUUUAACAAAUUUACAGGAAACAAACAACCCCAUUAAAAAGUGGGCAAAAGACAUGAGCAGACACUUUCCAAAAGAAUAUGUACAUGCAGCCAAUAAGCGUAUGAAAAAAUGCUCAACAUCGCGGCCACCACCCCAUCUGGGAAGUGAGGAGCGUCUCUGCCUGGCCGCCCAUCAUCUGGGAUGUGAGAAGCCCCUCUGCCCGGCCGCCCAGUCUGGGAAGUGAGAAGCGCCUCUUCCCGGCCGCCAUCCCGCCUAGGAAGUGAGGAGCGUCUCUGCCCGGCCGCCCAUUGUCUGAGAUGUGGGAAGUGCCUCUGCCCCGCCACCCUGUCUGGGAUGUUAGGAGCGCCUCUGCCUGGCUGCGACCCCAUCUGGGAGGUGAGGAGCCCCUCUGCCUGGCAGCCACCCCAUCUGGGAGGUGUACCCAACAGCUCAUUGAGAACGGGCCAUGAUGACGAUGGCGGUUUUGUAGAAUAGAAAAGGGGGAAAUGUGGGGAAAAGAUAGAGAAAUCAGAUUGUUGCUGUGUCUGUGUAGAGGGAAGUAGAUGUAGGAGACUCCAUUUUGUUCUGUACUAAGAAAAAUUCUUCUGCCUUGGGAUGCUGUUAAUCUAUAACCUUACCCCCAGCCCCGUGCUCUCUGAAACAUGUGCUGUGUCCACUCAGGGUUAAAUGGAUUAAGGGCGGUGCAAGAUGUGCUUUGUUAAACAGAUGCUUGAAGGCAGCAUGCUCAUUAAGAAUCAUCACCACUCCCUAAUCUCAAGUACCCAGGGACACAAACACUGCGGAAGGCCACAGGGUCCUCUGCCUAGGAAAACCAGAGACCCUUGUUCACUUGUUUAUCUGCUGACCUUCCCUCCACUAUUGUCCUAUGACCCUGCCAAAUCCCCCUCUCCGAGAAACACCCAAGA